rnacentral:tRNA from 1 species
CUAAAGUUCUCCAAACACA